GUAAUUUUACAUUAAAAAUUAACGCACAUUGUGCAUAUUUCUAUUUAUUUUUAUGACGUUAAUAAUAAUAAUAAAGUAACUCGAUAAGUGGCUUUAUCUUUGUUAUCGCGCAGUACUUUACCGCUGGGUCACCCAAUUUGUCAGCCACUUAUUAUGCAUCCACCUGCUUCCUUUUGAUAGAAAACACUCCUGUUGUGAGAAUUCAAAUAGUGGGUUGGUAGUUUUCCAUGUCUGGUACUUACCUACAGUAAAAGGUGUACAGUAAAAGGAAUGGAAAUUCAGUUCUAUUUCUGUUAAUUUUGUUAAUAAAAGAUAAUUAGAAGUGUGGGUGUCUUAUUACUUUAUUAGAUGUGACUCAUUUUUAUUUGACUCAUACAAAUUUUAUUUCAUUAUGACAUAAUAAAAAUGGUAUGAAGAAUGAUCAUGAUCAAAGAUUUAUUUCUGACAAAAAAAUUCGAUAAAAAUCUGUAAUUGAAAACUUGAUAUCUAAUCCAAAGAUUAAACUGAUAAAAGUAAUGCGCACUUGACCUAAAAACACUUACGAUUUUCUCUACUCUACACAGCUACGUCAAGUAUUCUGUACUUGUUGAAAGCAAGUUUUUAGUUUUUUACAAAUGACGGGUAAAAUGUGGACAUAAAAGGAAAAGUUACUUUGCUGUAAAAAUAAAACACCAAGAAAAAUUUGACAAUACUUCUGUAAUUAUUCUAUCUCUGGAACUGCAAAUAUACAGGUGUCCGUUUUUCGAGUUCCACCAUGGGGAUCUCAGUUAUUAUAAGAGAUACAAGGUUGGUUAAAAUAGGGCAAAAUUGCGCAUUUUAUGCUGUAUAAUUAUCUCAAAAAAAAUUUGAUUGAGUUAUUUUUAAUUUUCGUUUUUAUAUUUUUGAGCGAAAAUUAAAAGAACUUGACGUUUUUAAGUGGGACGUUCUUCAGGCACUUAUUUUUACAACAAAUCUAAAUCUGUCAUUACCUUGUCCAAGGCGUUCUUGAUGUAGAGUUACAACAUUUAACUUUAGUUUUUCUUAUGUAUUUUUGAUAAGUCCUUUUGUUCCUGAUUACAAUGAUAUAUCAAUUAAUAUGAUCGAAUCUUACAUGCUAAUUAAAAUUGAGAAAAAAGCAUUUUUGCGAAGAGUGCUUUGGAAAAAACGUCAACAAUUUUGUUUUUAAACAAACUAGAUUUUGGAGGUUUAAUUGAAUUUAGAUUUAGAAGGUUUAUAUUUCCGCCAAGCUUACUUAUUUAAAAACGACAGGAUAAGUUGGAAGUUUAUUCCUUGCAAAACAAAAUAAAAAAAAGUUAUAAAAAUUCUGCUCGCAUAUUUAAUAGAACUACCAAAAAGUUUGUUAAACAAAAUUCUUGGUGUUUUUUUUUUUAAAAACGUCAAAACAGUUCUAAUAAAUAUGUGGGCAGAGUUUUUAUAACUUUGUUUUGCUUUGUUUUGCGAAGAAUAAAAUUCUAGCUUAUCAUGUCGUUUAACUUCUAAAUAAGUAAGCUUGGCGGAAAAGUGAACCUUCCAGAACCAAAUUCAAUUAAACCUCAAUCUAGUUUGCUUAAAAACAAAAUUGUUGACGUUUUUUCCAAAGCACUCUUCGCAAAAAUGUUUUCUCUCCAUUUUGACCAGCAUGUAAGAUUCGAUCAUAUCAUGUGAUACACCGUUGUAAUCAGGAAUAAAAACGGUUUUGAAAAAUACAUAAAGCGAAUAUGGCUUCCAUAAGAAAAACCAAAGUUGAGUGUUGUAACUAUGACAUCAAGAACGCCUUGGAAAAUACGAUGACGAUGCCUUGUAGAAAAGUGCUUGAAGAACGUCCUAGUGAAGAACGUUUAGUUCUUUUAGUUUUUGCUUGAAAAAAUAAAAACGAAAAUUAAAAAUUUCCGUUUUUUUUUUUCAAAUAAUUUAAAUAAUAAAAAGGAAAAUUAACUAAACUAAAAAUGACAAAAUUUUCAUUUAGAUAAUUGUUCAGCAUAAAGAUGCGCAACUUAGCCCUAAUUUAACCGACCUUUACCUGAGAUUCCCAUGGUAGAUCUCGAAAAAUGCACAGCCUGUAUGUCAUAUAGUUUUGUGAUACCAUGCAUUCAAUUAAAUUUCUGAUUGUGAAAUUAUGUUUGUAAACAAAUAAUUCAUAUAUAAUAACGACCCUUACAAAAAUAAGAUGCAAUCAAAAUUCGUACAUUUUCCAUACUCAUUUAAACUUGCUUCUUUUUUUAGGCAUACUUGCUCAAGUCAUAAUUUUGGUGAAAAAAAUUGGAAGCAGCUCUAUCUGUGGCCACAAAUUGUGUUUGUUGUUCUUCUAACAUAACGGUUUUAAUGUUAAAAGUUUUGUCAAAACUUAGACUCUAGUAAAUUUUAUGGUGAAAAAUGAACUUCUCAUUCAAAAAGUUUAAUAAAAAAGGCGUUUAUACCAAAAAAGUUAUUCGCUGAAGCAUACAGCUUUAGUUUCAAAAUUGGCACAUUUUCAAUUCCUUCGUCAAACACUGUGCAAUUAGACACUUUUUUUUAUCGCUGUCUGUCUCAUUCAUAAAUUCAGGAUGAUCCUGCAUUUUUGUCACUUUUUUAAUGUAUGUGUUAGUACCUAUUGCAUCUCUGUUUCUGUGUUUUUGUCUUCAAAUUUUCAUAGAGGAUUUUUUGCAGAUGUUGACAUUUUUUUCAAAAUAAAUCAAAAUCCAAAACCCAAUUUGACAACUUUUUAAUAUUAAUAAAAUUAUUACGAAUUAACUUGCUGAUGGUGCCAAUGUAAAACUGUUUGACACGUCCGCUAAAAAAGAACAGAUUUGAUUAAGAAUGUAUAGUCACCGAUCAAAAAGAAUGGCACCCUUACCAACCGACUCAUAAAUUUCAACAAACAGGUUAGUUUACAAACUAUGCAGUUAGUUUACAUAAUAUUCAGCUAGUUUAUAAAUUAUCCAAACAUGCGCAUUAACCAUAUCACGUCGAAAAGUUCUGUAGGUGCAGUUUUAGGGGUGACAUACUUUUUGAUCGUAACUGUACAAUUGGUUGCAAAAAAACGCAAAAUAGGAUAUUAAUAUCCGUAGUAUCUUUAUUUCUAUCUUUCUUUAUUUUGAUGUUGAAAAAUAAAAACAAAGUCCAAUCCAAGUAAAAAAAUGUAAUAUUCAGAAAAGAAUGUUAAAACAGAGCGCUUUCGGGAUUACAAUUUUCCCAUCAAAGGGGCUGCUAACAGAGAGAAAAAUAAAUUACAAUUACAGAUCAAAAUUUCUGAAAAACACAAAUAUAUCUGGUCCGACCCCAUAGAAAAACUUUUAUAGGAUGAGGACAUCCACUAUUAGCUUUUUAUUUCAAAACUAUAAAAACGCCAACGUCGGAUUAUUUUUUAAAUAAGUUUCAUAAAAUUGUAAAAUAGUUAUUAUUGAUUAGAUCUCUUAUUGAAAGUAUAGAAUACAUCAGCUAUUAUUCUUUUGAAGUGCACGAAUAUUGUAUAACGGCCAAUUUUGAGUCAAAAUGCGACGUUGGCGUUUUUAUAGUUUUGAAACAACUAAUAGUUCAAUAAAUUAGAGAGACUCAAGAAAAUUUAAGUGUGACCUUUGUUAUAAAUAUGAAGAAUUUUAAGUUGGAAUCUGGAGUAUUUGAUAUAUAGUUUGGCCCGCGUUGCAAUCAUUGUGAACCAAAAGAGAAGAAAAACUACCAGAUGAACUAAAGGAAGUGUGGAUACCAUGCCUGUUUAAAAUGUGAGCCAAUAAAAGAGAAAUAUUGCCAACGAAUGACAGGGGUAAUCUCUGGGAAGAGUGAGAGAACAAAACCGAGGGACAAGUUGCAUAGAUGACGUGUAAUUGAGAACUGCAUGUGUGUUUAAAUUUAUGAAAGAUUUUGUGUAAAUAAUCAAGAGCAACUUCAUUAUUGAUCGCUAUCUGUUUAUUAAUGAUGUCCCAUUGCUUCUUGAAAGUAUUCUUUCUUGUUGAGAGAUAUUUUGAAAAUACGGUAAAUGAGGAAUCCUAUGUGGGAAAAAAUGUCUAGAAGAAAAAAGGGUUUUUUAAUCGCGAUUUUCUUAGAAGUUCUGUAAACCAGCCCUAUGUAUUUUUAAAAAGAAGAAACAGUAUAUUUUGGAAAAAAACUAUAUUAAAAUACAAAAAUAAACAAUAGGUCCAGUAACAAAAAAUAUUUCAGUUCUUCCUCCCUGAGCCUGUAACUGAUCCAUUCUUUUUUCCACUGGAGGAGACACUUUUGGGACUUGCGUUCACUGAUCCAUUCUUCUUAUCACUUGUGUCAUUCUUAGGACUUGCUUUAGCUUCAGGACUCUUGAUCCCAUCUCCCAUUCCGCCAUUUUCCUCACAAACAGGCUUCUUCACGCAAGGACAUCGACAAACACACUUUUGAUCACCUUCCUUACUAUGAUCACUUCUUGCUGUUGGUAGAUCUUGUAUGACUUCAUCUUUCGUUUCACUCUUUUGUUCUUUCGGUGGUUCGGCUUCUUCUGCAAUUUUGACUUUGGAAGGUUGAAUCAAAUCUUGUGGGCACUUCCAUAUAAAGAUACUGCCAGAACCACUGGUCGUCACAAUAUAUUUCUGGUCUGGACUGAACCGAGCUGCUGUAAUGACAGCAGAAUGGCCAAUUCCAAUAUGAGUAGCAAUACCUAAAAAUGAAUUCCAGGUGUUGGUACCUAUGAAAGUAUAUUUCAUGGUAUUACCAAGUUGGUAAUUCCAAAGUUUGACGAUUUGGUCGUUUCCUCCAGUCACAAAAAUGUUGCCAUCUAGUGAUAUGUCCAGGGCGUUGAUGGCACCAGACUCGGAACCCUCCACUUCGCGCACAAGAGUACCAUCAAGCACCUCCCAGUAUGAGAGUUUCCGGUCGGAACCACCCGUCAAAACUUGCACAUCCGUGGGAUAGUACCGAGCGCACAUAAACAACGUGGUUCCAAACAUAAUAUGCCGACGACAUUGGCGUACCAAAUCCCAAAUAAUACAAGUACCAUCAGUACUGGCACUGACUGCUUCGGUACCAGCUUUGUUAAUAUCGACGGCAGAAACUGGAGCUUUGUGUUCUUUCAAAGUACAAAUCAACUGUUGGCGAUAAGGCGUAACUGACCACAUUCUGACCUAAACAUAUAUUUUUUUUUCUGAUAAAAACUCUCAUUAAGUUGUUAAACUGACUUGUCCUUCGCAACCUCCGCUAACUAAAACAUCGCCUUCAUGUGUGAUUGCCAAAGCUGAAACCCCUUUAUUGUGGGCGUUCAGAAUGGCGUAAAUCAGUCUUCCGGUUAGAGGAGUGAAAGAUCGGAUUAUUCCAUCAUUCCAAGCCGUCAAGAUCGAUUUACCAUCGUGUGAGAAUAAGACGCUAGAGGCACUAAAAUUUGGUACUUGGAUGCGAAGGAGUUCUUGGUGAGUUUUGAUCGACCAAACACGGACGUCGUUUUUACUAGCUGUGGCAAAUACAUCAGAAAAGUUGCUGAAAGUCCAAAAAGUACAAAAUUAAUAGAAAAGGCACCAAAAAAUUGAAAUAAAUUAAGCAUUGUAAAAAUUUAAAUUAUAUGCGAUUUUGAUCAACGAAGGGAAAUUUUUGCGUAAUCCAAAGGCACGUUUGAUGCAUUUCAAUUUUUUAUACACUCGUAGAUAUUUAUGUUCCUUCAACAUCUAUUCCACAUUUCUCUAGUAUCACGAUCCUUUAAAAAAUCUGCCCCUAAUUUCUUAAAAGUUUCUAAGUCAUUUCAGGUCAUUUAGAUAGUUGAAAUAAUGAUUGUUUCAACUAUCUCAACACUUGAAUCCAACAUUUGUUGAACUUUAUCAGCUUUAUGAACCUGCAAUUUGCAGUAAGUAUUAUUUUUGUAGAAACACAGCUUUUCUUUGUUUUCCUUUUUGUUUUUUUACAGUGUUAUUUUAUUUAUUGUUUUUGGGUCUUCUUAUUUUUUUCACAAAAUUGUUUGGAACAUAAUUUUUGUUGAAAAUAUGAUGGAUUAAUUGAAAUAUUCUCAUCAUCAUACAUGCUCGUUCUUUGAAUUUUCUAAACUAUCAAGGUUAUAAACCUCCAAUAAAAGAACCAUCAAAUGGGUACCUGGAAUGGAUCAACCACUUUGGGUCUGGGUGAAAUUGAACAGACUAAGAACGGCCAUGCCAGAUGUAAGUCAAUGUUGUUUAAAUGGAAGGCUACAGAAAAUCCAUAUUGCCAAUGUGGUCAGGUGGAAGAAACUGUUCAACUGUUGAAGAAUGCUGAAUUACAAGUUUUUAAGGAGGCUUUAAUGAAAUUCAUAAAAGUUUUGUAAUUUCUUUUAUGUACAAUGUAUUAUUAUCCUCUUU